rnacentral:tRNA from 1 species
GGAUGGGUGGCAGAGUGGUCGAUUGCUCCGGUCUUGAAAACCGGCGGACGUGCAAGCGUCCCGGGGGUUCGAAUCCCUCCCCAUCCGCCA